rnacentral:lncRNA from 1 species
GGAUGCACCUUCUUCUUCUCCCUCCUGGCACAUCUGCCUCAUGAGUCCUGAGCCCAGGUGAGGCCCUCAGGGUUCUCCUCAGUGUAGUUCUUCAGGUAGUCGUCGUCAGUGCACCAGAGAUGGCAUUUGUAUAUAGGUCCUUUUGAAACAGAAAGAAACAAAAGGUGAAUUAGACUGGCUUAAGUAAUUUUUUAAAAAAGAGGAGUUCUCGUGUGGCACAGCACUGCCGUGGUGCUGGUUUGACACCUGGCCCAUGAACUUCCAUAUGUCAAGGGCGUAGCCAAAAAAAAAAAAAAAAAGAUUACAGAUGAAAUUAAAACUGCCAAUCAUCUGACUUUAUUUUUUAACUUUUAAUUUUUUUUGGUCUUUUGUCUUUUUAGGGCCACACCUGAGGCGUACGGAAUUUCCCAGGCUGGGGGUUUAACCAGAUCUAGAGCUGCCGGCCUACACCACAGCUCACAGCAACACCGGAUCCUUAGCCCACUGAGCAAGGCCAGGGAUGAACCCACAACCUCAUGGUUCCUAGUUGGGUUUGUUUCCGCUGUGCCAUGAUGGAAACUCCAGGCCGUUCCAAGAGCGGGUUGGCGGUACCUCGCAGCCACUGCCGUCUCGUUUCUGCUUUCCCGUAUUCCCGAGAUGUGGUGACCAGCAGCUCCACAUCUUACAUCCCAACUCCCCCAGUUUUGAUAGUAACAGCAAAGAAAGCACCUUAUCCCAGUGCUUUGGGCAAGCCCCCCGGGGCUAAUGAUCCCCCUGGCAGGGUGGGAUUGCACUUUGCGGUCACGUGGGACACUUGGACCCCCAAAAUGAAGCACAUGGGAAGGGCUAGAACUCCCCCAGGUCGGAAAGUAGAAUAUUUUAUUGGAAGCUGCAUGUGUGGUUCACUGAGAUGAAGCCAGUGUGUCCUCCCUCAUCUAAAGUCUGAUCACUCAGAGCAUUUCAGCGCCCAGGUGUGCAGAGGGGGGACGGGCCGCAGCUGAUGUCCUGGAGCAGCCGUCUGUGUCAACUGAGUCUCAGGGUCAGCAGGCUUCCACGGGGCUGCCCCAGCCCCCAGUGCAUUUGCUUCUGGGUGCUCCUUGCUCUCUGCCUCUUUCCAGGUUAUCGUCCACUCAGGACCUGGCCUGUCCUCUCCGCUGCCGUAUCCCAAGCCACAGUCAGCUUCAUGGCCAGGUGACAUUCAACAGAGACAAGGGCCUCCCAGCUUAGAGGCCACAUCAGAACUGCCAGCCUACGCCACAGCCACAGUAACAUCAGAUCCAAGCCGUAUCUGUGCCCUAUGCCUCAGCUCACAGCAAUGCUGGAUCCUUAACCCACAGAGUAAGGCCAGGGAUUGAACCCAGCAUCCUUAUUGAUACGAGACAGGUUCAUAACCCGCUGAGCCACACCGAGAACUCUGCCACGCGGAUUCGGUUGCGGGAGAGCCCUGCUCAGAGGAUCAGGUGCAGGGAGCUGUUUCUGAUUCCUGUCCCUUGCUGCCACGUGACUCUGGACAAGCCUCGGCGGAGACUUGAAGACUUCUGAGCAGGGUGUGGCCAAGGCCUGACUGAGGGAGGCAGUGACCUCAGCUGCCAAGCUCUGUCACACCUACAGUGAGGGCCAUCUCUGCCUGGCUCCCCCCACGCUGUCUGGGUCCUCCCACACUGUCUGCCCAAGCUGUCGCUUUUGCCUGGCGUGGCCGCUUCUACCUCUCAUUACCCAUCAAAAUCCUUUCCAUGCUUCAAGGCCGCCUCUGUGACGACAGAACUGGGUGCUGGAAACGCAGGGCCAGAGAUGCUGCCCGCCCUCCAGAACCUGCUGUCUGUAAGAGGAGGGCCCAAAACUCUGGGAGUCAAGAGAGGGCUUACUGCAGUGGUGACCUACAAGUCAAGAGAGCAGAUGCUCGCCAGGUCUCUGUGCAGCUCAAGAGCAGUUACCGUUCCUGAGAGCCGUGAGGUACUGAACCAGCCACAGUGCCACAGGUUUCCAUCCCAUCGGCCACGGCAUGGACAGUGCCCGCUGCCUGGCACCAGAGCCACACCAUACCUAGGGUGGAAUGGGAGCUGUAGCUGCUGGCCUACACCACAGCCACAGCAAUGUGGGAUCUGAGCUGUGUCUGCGACCUACACCACAGCUCACAGCACCGUUGGAUCCUUAACCUACUGAGCGAGGCCAGGGAUCGAACCUACAUCCUCAUGGAUACCAGUUGGGUUCGUAACCUGCUGAGCCAUAGUAGGAACUCUAAAGCUUUUGAAAAAUUAUGUAACCUGCCUGUAAUUUGUGGCUAGUGACGCCACGGUGUAUUCCUCUAAACGGCGGAGCUCAGAAAACUCUCAAGGGCAGCAAAGGGGGAGAGUUUACCAAGGUCACACUGUGUGUUGGUGGUUGAACUGGGUCAGUGUUCCACUGGUGGUUUUUCCCGGUCACUGCUAGCAGGGUAUUGAUGCAGUAACCAGCCCUACGGCCAGCCCACCGUGUCCCUUGCCCCAGUGACAGGAAAGAGUGCCCAGUGGAUUAGAGCAUACACUUUGGAGUCAAACAGACCUAUGUUCAAAUCACAGCUCCCAAGCUAACUUGCUGGCUGACCUUGAGAACGACCCUUCCUCUCUCUGAGCCUAUGUCCUCUUCUGCAAAAUGGAACAGUAACCUCGCUCAUUUCCUGGGGUUGCUGGAGGAGUGAGUGCGAGAAGGCACAUGGGGUGUCUGUCCAGCGAGGCCACCCAGUUGAUGUGGACUAAGCCGUGACCUUGUCUCUGAAAUGAUCCAUGAGCUGAAAGAGCUUUGCAGCUGCCGUUCCACAUAAAGAAGCCCUGAAAUCUGCUUCACGGCGAUGACGUAGGCUGGGAAGGAGGCCAGAGGCCGCAGGGUGUCUGACUCUGGAAGAGACCCACACGCAAAUAGGCACCUCGCACCUGGCCACACACACCCUUGUGAGACGUAGGUGCACACAUUUGUGUACACGUGCAUGUGCACAGGGGGAUGCUCACACAGGAUGCGUGCCAUAGAUAUGCUCACAUAUAGAUAUGCACAUGCUCACACGUCUGCGUGUGCCCACACGCGUGUGCACCCACACUUCCCGUGUACACAUACUUCCUCCUCUUUGCCUGGUUAACACUUACUCCUUCCGCCUCCACCCGCAGGUCACUGCCUGGGGGCAGCCGCCCCGAGCCCCUCAGCUUGUGCUCCCUUGGCCUCCUGCAUGUUCCCCCUUCCGUUUGCAUCUUAAUUGUCAUUGAACAAUUGUGUAACAAGCUGCUUAAUUCUGGAUUUUCUACUAGACUCUUAUCUCUGCAGAGGGCAGGGACAAAGCCUGACUAUUCCCCAAUGAUGGAAAGCUCCUAGCACAGCCUAGCACAUAGUAGGCCUUUGACAGAUACGUGCCAUUGUUUUUUUUUUUUUUCUUUAUCAAGGGCUGCAUCUGUGGCACAUGGAGGUUUCCAGGCUAGGAGUCAAGACAAAGCUGCAGCUGCCAGCCUAUGCCACAAGCCACGGUAACGCGGGAUCCCAGCUGCGUCUGUGACCUACACCACAGCAACAGCAAUGCCGGAUCCUUAACCCACUGAGCAAGGCCAGGGAUCAAACCCCCAUCCUCAUGGAUCCUGGUCACAGCAGGAGAGCAGCCGCUUCACUGUGGGCUGCCUUGUACGGGUUUCUGGCCUCGGGUCUGUGGGAGGUUUUAGGCUCACCCAGAGAAACCCACCCUCAGAAUGUUGCAGAGGCUGGCGAGAAAGAAAACGCAGUCGCCAGGAAAUCGCGUGUCAGUGGUGAAGGGAUGUCCAGGAAGCCCGAGGGCAGAGAGCUCCUUGUCGCUUCUCGCUUGCUUUCCCCCAGGAGGCGAGGGACACCACAACUGCCCCAAGUGACAAGGCUGACCAGUCGCUGCCUGGGCUGGCACAGGGCGGCCUCCCUUGCCUCAGGCCAGAUGAGGGCGGUAAGCAGGCGUCUUCAGGGCAGAGAGAGGGCGGAGGAUGAUGCUCUGGUGGGAGUGAGAUGCAGUGCUGGGUGGCUGGAGGAGAUUUCCUUCCUUUAUUUAUCAAAGGAGUACUUACGGACACCUUCUAAGUGCCAGGCACUGUGCCAGCUGCUGGAGAUACAGGAGAAAGUGAGUUAUGUGUGGCCUUGGACCUCCGGGUGCUCAAAUCUUACGGGCGAUGUGGAUAAGAAACCAGACCAUCCCCAUGCAGUGUGGUCCAGGCUCCCCAGGGGAGCUGAGACGCGGGCCUCCUAAGGAGGGUGGGAGUGGCUUAUGGAGGAGAGAGUUUCUGAGCUAAGGCCUAGAGAAUGAGCCAGGCCAGGAGACGCGGAAAGAGUGCUGUGAGUGGAGAGAAGGGUUUGUGGGCCGGCCCCAAAGGGAGAGAGGGCACAUGGCAGGAAUCCAGUGUGGCAGUGGCUGGCUCGUCCCGGUGGGGUGGCCAUAAGCUGGGGAGGAGCGGCAGCCAUCAAAGGAGGCUGAGCAUCUGGGAGCAGUGAGGUCCUGCAACCUGAAGAGAGGGGACAUGGGGAAGGAGCCUUGCUGUUCACUGGACAUGACCUUGCCUUCUCUGGGCCUGUUUUCUCACCUGUCACGUGGACAGGGGGGCUCGGUGACGGCCCACAUACUUUCCCAAGGCUGCUGUCUAAGCUCCCGUCAGGCCGGGUGAACCCUGUGCGUCCCCCCUUCCCCACCCCUGUGCUCUCUGCCGCCUCCCAUCCUGCCCCACAUCCUCUCUGUCCUGUGCCGUCCACCCUGGCCUCUUCCUCUGCCACUCCUCAGAAGCCGUGUCUCGUAGGAGCACCUCCUUGAUGGGGUGAUCAUGUCACCCACUUUUCCAUCCUCGUCCUGUGCCCUUCUCCGCACCGCACCCGAACUUCUCUCUCCAGCUCCCAGAGCUGUUUCUUGUCUGGAAUUCUCAGCCUCCUCCCUCCCCUCACCACGUCUCACUUUUGUCUUGCCAAUCCUUCCAGUUCCAGCUAAGCCCUUUCUUCAGCGAAGCCCUCCUCUAGGGGCCCAGCGCCUGCCCCGUGCUGUGUUAACACUCUGCCUCCUUCCCAGCGCUCGCAGGGCAGUACUAACGUGGUCGUGUGUGAUGACGGAUGCCCACUCCUUCCGAGACAGAAGCAGGGGCAGGGGGCGAAGCACGUGUUUAGUAGGUUCUGGGUGGUGAGUUGAGUGGAUAAGUGGCUGUCAGUGGAUUUAAUGCCUUUCACACAUAUAUAAGUUAUUAAUUAUGCUCAGGCCAGGACUGUAAACUGAAACUUUGUUCAUCAGUUCACAAAGUAGAGUGACAUGUUUUGCCACUAGAGGGCAUCGUGAAACCGUAAAGUUGGGGGUGAGCCUCAGGGACCCUGGCCUCUUUUUGAGUUGACGUGUAAAGUUCAGUCACUUUGUAUUCUGUGUCCACUCAGGACACAUCAAUUAAAAUUUUAAAAAAUGUGUAGACCCUUAUGAGUUGGAAGGCUUGCCAGAGCCUGUUUGGUCCAACCCUGGACACUUGAGACCUGAGGGAGAGUGAGUUCCCCUGCCUUCAUUGGCCCCAGGACACCGAUUUGUUCCUGGCUGUGGGAAAAUCCCUCUUUUUCAAUAUUCCUUUUUUCCUAUUUUGUAGGAGAAACUGUUGUAACUCCUGUCUCUUUCAAUCCAUCCAAUAAAUAUUUACUGACUUUCCACCGUGCGAUGGGCACUGUGUUAGGUGCUAGUAUUUCUAGUUUGCAAAACAGGCCUCUGUCUCAUGGAGUCCACUGUCUGGUUGGGAAAAUGAAUAUUGAAAAGUAAUAUAUAGAUACUAUCUGUGAUUAGUGCAAAAUGAAAGUCAGAGCCUGAGGACAGGACAUAACAGAGCUCCUGCCUCUUUCUUGAGCUCCCUCUUGGAGGAGGGCCAUUUGGCAGAAACCCAGAGG